rnacentral:lncRNA from 7 species
UGGUUGGUGCUUGGCUGGGUGUUAGUCAGUAGAUGUCUCUUACCUUCGCAUGUGCUGAAAAAUGAAGAGUCCUGGUUUCAAACUAAUGCUUUCUGAAGUUCUGCUACCUUGCAGAAAUUCCCCCCUUUUUUUCCCCCUAUUUUCUUACACACCUAAUUCUUUGCUCCCAAGGGAGAAGAAUAGUAGAAUGAGAAAGAAGUGUGUACUAGUAUAAAAAAACAAAUUAUACUUAGUCAUAUGAAAUAGUGCAGUCUCUAGAAUAUUGUUCUUUAUAUCAGCAAAAUACAUUUCUCAGUUUAACUCUGUACAAAAAAACAUGUUGCUCUAAACAAAUGGGCUUUUGCCCACUUUGUAUUUACCUCCAUUGAUGUUUGUUUUACUCCAAAUGCAACAAAAUAUUACAUUUUCUUUUCCUUGCCAAACUGGUAUGAUAUUAAAAGGAAGGCAGUGCAAUAGCACAUUACUCUUAGAAGAUAUGGACUUAUUUGCUGCAAGGUACAUCUGGACACUACUGGGGACUUCUUUUGGUGUGCUAUUCUGCAGUUCCUAAAGCCUGAAAAUGAUGAUUACCUUUAAGGAAUUAAGAUGCUACAUAGGACACCACUUAGUGGUAUGUGAGUCACUGACAGAAAGCAGUGUCCCAAAAUAACUGUGCUACCUGUUUCUCUUGAAAGCAGAAUCUGCAGAAGGAGGGAAUUCUGGAGGGUAUAGAACAUAGGCGUUUCCCUUCAUAAUGGCAAUAUUGUACUGUAAAAGUCCAUCUGGGAAAUAAUGUUUCUUUUGUGAAUAAUUAUUUUUGUGUGUUCACCCGUAAAAACACAGUAAACUUCUAACAUCAAUAUAGAAUAUAGAUUCCUGUUUACAACAGGCAGCAAAUGUAUUCAGUUCAACAUGCCCAAACACCUGCUAAGUGAAAUGAAAUUUGACUACUUGCAGUCAUGUGUUAGAUUUGCCUGAUGCCUCAUCUAUAUUUCAUGAAAAAAAAAAACUGGUUAAUGUUAUUUACACUUAAACAUGUGUAUGUGUGUAACUCAAAAGGAGACUUGAAUGAUAAUCACCUCUGCUUUAAGCAAAUUUAUCCAUAUCCAGGUGCUUUUUGGUCAUUCUAAGCAUCAGCACUCGCACAGAACAAGUGGAACAAAGGGAGAAGAAACAGUAAGAUGUUUGUCUUUGUAUGCUGCAAUACUCUAAAAGCACUUCCAGUGUCUUAUUCUUGUAAUUCUGGUCGUGUUAUCUUAAGCUUAUCUAAUUUACGUAAGCGUGGUGGUGAAAGAAGUGAGACCCAAUGUCUGAAGAUCUAAUCAGAUAUUAAUUAAUGUGUUGUACCAGUAGCUGUAGUGCAACAGAAUGUAGCAUGUUCAUCACUGUAAAUAGGUGAUUAAAUUUAUAGCAUAAUGUUAGGUAUUUGGAUCUUUCUGUCAUACUGUUACUGUUCUGUGCUAUGCUGACUGCAAAAUAUAAUAACUUCUAAGCAGUGUGUAAAACAAAGUGCUCAAUUCACUUUAUUAAAAUAUCCAAUAAUAAUUGAUUUAAAGGCAAUAAAAUGUGUUCAUUAGAGGGUUUAUAUUCAAGAAAUAUUGAAAGUAUACCUAAAACUGUCACUUUUAUUGUGAAUGAACAGGAUAAUAUAAUUUGAAAAGAGUGUGAUCAUACUAAAGAUUUGUCCUGCAGCAUUAUCUGAUAGCUCGUAAAGUGCUGAAAUUUAAUAUGAUGCUUUCAGUCAGUUUAAUUGAAAUUUAAUUGCCACUUUGGGCAGAAGGUUUAGAUCUGAUCAAUAAAAUAUUAAAG